CGCUGCGCCGCGGGGAACCGGACUUUGCUGACAGCCCCGACCGCUGCUAUGGAUCGGGGGAGCUGAGCCGGGAUGGGCUGGAGCAGCAGCUCUCCGGACUCCCCGCCGCACCGGGCGCGCCUUACACGCUUCCCAGAGCGCCUCCGGCGGGACCCGCAGCCGCUGAGACAGCCAGGGGGCUCCAGCCAGGGCGCACCCCGCUAGAGCUGGCACGUGCGCGGCACGCUCCCUUCCCCCCGCCCAUGCCCUCCACGCACAAUCCCACACACGCGUGCACACGGCUGCAGUCCCACAUGCAUGCGGGCUUAGUCGCUUGUGCGCAUUGCACGCGCACAGGUACACGCGUGACCCGCAGCAGCUGCGCACAUACGAUCAGCCCGGGCUCUGGUGAAGUUCCUAGCAACUCCCCCACAGCCCCUGAGCUGUUCGCCCGUGGAUGGGUUGGAGUGGGGGUGGGGAAUGGCAGGUCGGCUUUAAAGCGGACAAGCAGCCCAGGCGGUUAAAAGGGUGGAGAGGAGGCGAUCCGAGGAAAAGGAGACAUCCCCGGCCCGGCCCAGAAGGCAGCAGCACGCACCAGAUCUCGGCGCGUGCAGCGACAGCAGCAUCCCGGCGGAGCAGCUGAAGGAAAACGCACGAUCACGGUGAAAGAUUUCAAAACCCUGUUGCUGCUCUGCUGUCCAGUAGAGAUGUAUUGGAUCUUCGAGGAACACAUUCUCUCUAACAGUCCAUGUUUCUGUGUGUAUAUUCAAACAAGGAAGAGAGAAGGCGGCCAGGGAACCCUAAAAGCAAAGCACGGGUCUCCAUGAAAAGGGCCCAAUGUCUAGGAGAUUCCAUGGGACUUAGCAGCCACCAAAUACUUUGCUUGUUUUACUAGCUAGGGCAAACUCCUCUCCUCCCAAUGGAAACUCCUGGGAAAAGGUUUGUGAAGGAAACCUCAAGUUGCAACAAUCCUUUGCUGCCUGUUCUACUUUCCUUUGAGAAAUUUUAAGGUGGGCUGCUAAAAAGUGAGAUAAUGAGAGCUCUUUGCCUGGCUACAGCUAGUUCAUGUGGUCAGGAAGGUGAGCAAAAAUAUUUUAAACUCAUUUCUCCCCUUCCCUCCCCCCCAAAUUGAUGACAUUUGUGUGUUCUCCCUGAGCCAGCCUGAAAAAAUGAAAUUUACUGUUUGAAGCUGUUAUACCAAUAAAAA